rnacentral:lncRNA from 1 species
AACGGACACAUUCGGCCGAUGGCCGCCGCUCGUUGGCUCUCGGUCCGAGAUCUUCGGAACCCACUUCGCAGGAUCAUCGUCCAGGUGAGCACUCCAUUCUGGGUUCUUCGCCGGCGGCGAUUUCUCUCAGCUUUGAUCUGUUUGGUCAUUUUUUUCUCUGAUCCCCUCUUCCGAGUGGCUCAACAACAGUACUCAGCUCGUUCAUCUACGGCGACAGGUCGUGGGUUUUUUCUUCUUCUCGCUCCCUCCUCUCCCUCCCGAAACACCCUGCAACAUACAGAAUCGAUCAGAAGCUUCAGGAAAAUGUAGGCGAACAUAAUUUUUUUUAUUUCCUCAGAAAUCUUUCAGCGGGUGAGCUACGAAUAUUCAUCGGCCAUUAUCCUAUUCCGCCAUGCUUUGCCUUGGCAUUACCUACUGAAGUUCUUGUGAGAACGAGUCCGUUGGGAGGGAGCUCUAUAGGCUUCUCCAGCGCCUUUCCUGCGAGCAAUCCGUUGACUUACUGUUUAUGCUCGCUAGAGCGCUGUCGAUAUUUUCGGAUGCAGUCAUUUUUUGCUUUCAGACGAAGCCGGCCCAACUUGAUGAAGAACAGUCUGUGAAAUUUGCGCGGCUCUUCUCACAAGAACUUCAGUGGGUUCUUCUUCCUCCUCGGCUCUCUGGUUCAGGGCCUCGGGUUCGGGGAUGAGCUCGUUUUGUAAGACCUUCUGAUUGGUCAAGUGGGAUGCUUUCUAGAGCCGGUCACAGACAGCAAGGGCCCCUGCUAAUUGCUAAAAAAAGGUAUUUAUACCCCCCCCCCCUUUCAAAAAUAUUUUCGGGCAAUUCUCUCCGUCCGAUUACUUCCAUCAGAUAAAAUUUGCCAACAAAAAAAUUACUCAGUUGACAAAUUUUGUCAAACUUUCCAAGUUAUAGAGUAUGUUUUACUAUAUGAAAGUUAGGGGGAUCUUUUAUGCAGCUCUCUCUGCAACGAUUAUUGUGAUGAGGCGUCCAUAACUAUUAUCCUUGGACAAUUCUUUCUUGAAAAUGCAUAAUCUUUUCAAGAGAACGAGCCCAAAAAAUUGCCCAGGUUAUGAUUUUCACGUUGACUCCUCCAUUAUCUCAGAUACCAAACAUGUUUGACUUGUUCCAUCCAUCGCUUAUGAUAUUUACGGUUUCACUUGUUUCUCACCUGAUUCCAUUGAAGCUGCGGUCCUCGUUCUUCUUUUUAAUUGAAAAAAUUAUCGUGUAUAACGUCUAUCACUCACGGUUAUUGAGAUUUUUCCCAGGUAAUCCUGAUGAAUUGCGAUUUAUCUAAUAAAUGCAGACAAGAUCAGGACUAUGCGUGAUAAAAAACAUAGAUCUCUAGGUGCAUGUGGGAUCUUUUUCAUGUGAUUGUCUGUGGGCCCCAUUUUUAUUAUCUUUUUCUUCACUAGACCGUUGCCAGACGUUAGUGAUUCCAUCCCGGAAAUCAUUUCUCCCGCAGUAUGCAUAAAAAUUCAGAAUCUAUCUACCAUAGUAGGAUGUAUUUUUUGCGCAUAUGAUGCUUUAAAUGAAGCUUCUUCCAUGAUCCACACACAUCUUGCAUCAGCUUACAUAGCAUGAACAAGUGAAGCAGUGACUUGGCUCGACUCAUCAACAUCUAGCCGUAUAUCUGGUAUCUUCAGUUUGGGAAUCCGCCUGGAAAGCUCUGUGAUUCCCCCUAUAGUGCGAGAAAACCGAUUAGGUGGGUCUCACUUGCCAUAAUUAGAAAAAAGGGUCGUAAUUAUUCGGAAAAUUAUCUUGCUUGCUUGACUUUUUCCGUAGGUCUGCCAUCAUCAUGAUCAGUUGAGCCGGUUGACUUUUCCAGGACAGUGCCGAGGCAUGCAUUUCUGUCGACUGAUGCAAAAUCGUCUCUUCAUUCCAUGACAGACAACGUUGCCGCUCUGCGGUCUCCCGCCGGAAGGGGAAGAAGACUGAAGAAAGGAAGCAAGGAUUCUUCUGGCAAGUCAAAUAGAUCAAGAUUUUUAUCCAUUGCGUGAGGAAGAAGAGGGCUGCUAUCAUGCAGUAAUGAUGCUCGCUGUAGGCUGAUUGAAAGGAAGCGCCUUUUUUCAUCUCCGUGACUCCCUUCUGCUGAACUCUGCUGUUCUUGAGCGCCUGAAUACGAUACUGUGUUGGGCCAUUCACGGUCUUGCUUAUUUCUUUUCCGACGUGGGACGAUUCCGAUCUUUCAUGUAUUCAGGAGCGAAGAACAAGAAAUAAUGAUUUCGGUGGAUGAUAAAUUGGGAAGGAUCUCAAUCUCAGAUGCCCGGAUCUUCAAAAUUAUCACAUGUUAAUUUCGCUUGCUAUGGCUGAAGAU